rnacentral:rRNA from 1 species
UAUUAAACUUACGAAUCGCAGGGCCUUGCGCCGGCAAUGGUUCUUUCAAAUUUCUGCCCUAUCAACUUUCGAUGGUAGGAUAGUGGCCAACCAUGGUGGCAACGGGUAACGGGGAAUUAGGGUUCGAUUCCGGAAGGGAGCCUGAGAAACGGCUACCACAUCCAAGAAGGCAGCAGGCGCUCCCCAUUACCCAAUCCCGACACGGGGAGGUAGUGACAAUAAAUACUGAUACGGGGCUCUUUCGGGUCUCGUAAUUGGAAUGAGUACAAUCUAAAUCCCUUAACGAGGAACAAUUGGAGGGCAAGUCUGGUGCCAGCAGCCGCGGUAAUUCCAGCUCCAAUAGCGUAUAUUAAAGUUGUUGCAGUUAAAAAGCUCGUAGUUGAACCUUGGGUCUGGCUGGCCGGUCCGCCUCACCGUUAGUACUGGUCCGGCUGGACCUUUUCCUUCUGGGGAAUCCCAUGGCCUUUACUGG